GUUGAACAUUGUAGAAACAGAUGCGGAGCAGCUGGAAGACACUCCCGUCAUCCUAGCUAAAAGAGAGAAAAUCAUCAUUAGAUAAAGCACUUAAAAUGUUAUAAUUUUCAUUUUUUUUUUCAUUUUUUCCAUGUAUCGGAACAUCCAACUAAAACUACAUAUUUAUAUGCGUACAGAUUUAUCAAAUAGAAGCGACGCGAAGAAACACAUAGAUCCUACAUAUCAACAAGUCAUUGGCUUUGAGUGAAUGGGCCAAUUCAACAAUAUCUCAUUGAGUACGCGACAAAAAGCACAUCUACAACAUGCUUUCCUCUUUUGUUCCCUUUGAAGAAUAAUUAAUAUCCAUAUCUGAAUCCAAACUCAACCGUUGGGACAAAUAUUUUACAUAAGUGAAAUCUCGAUGACAAAUGACAUCCAACAGUUUUGCUCAAUGGCUUGUUAGAUCGUAAGCUCCCAUUUAUCAGGAGUAUAUCGUAAGCUCCCAUUUAUCAGGAGUAUAUCGGCACUGCCAAUCUAAUGUAUACACGGCGAAUGAUCCACCCAUUCAGUCACCGACCACAUUGGUUCCGCAACAGCUUUCAUUUCAAACCAAGCAACAAAGAAGAUGUCACACCUCAUAGUACGAGAGAUUUAUGGUAUCUAUCGUGCCAAUGUACGUAUUUCUUAUUAUUGAGUUUAUAAAGAUACAUACAAUCAUAGUGAAUGACCAACUUUCUCCAUGUCAUGUUCUCUGUUUCUCCCUAAUAAAUUACACCUAUGCCAUUUUAGCAUGGUGUUGAAAUUUUAUCUAUUUUCAAAGUGAUUAGGAGGCGGCAUCGUAUAGUCAGGGUUUACAUAAAAAUAAUUGUACAUUGCAGGAUUAUUUAUACUGUUUUUAGUCAAGAGAAAAACACACUAGAUGAACAAAAUUGAGUUUGGACCUUUGCUACUGCCUUCUAACAUGAAAUGGAUAUGCAUUUCUCCAAUUUGAUUAGAUUUUAGUAAGACUUAUUGAAUACUUUUGCCCAUGGCCCUAGAGCGCAAUUGAGAAGAACAAGAUGACAGCCACUUCCUUACUAUUUUGCCUUGGCUCCUGACAGCAUGCAAAUAAUGUGCGUAUCUAGUUACAUUAAUGUUUUGCCUUUAUUAAGAGAUCCACUUCUAUUGAGAUGUAAAUAAUCUAUACAUAUUACUCUGUAAGCUAUAACUAUUCUGUACAUAAGUUUUCACAACUUUUCAAAAAUAAUUUCUUGCAAGUAUAUAUGUAUAAAUAUUGGGUUACAUGA